GUGGGUAGUUUGACUGGGGCGGUCUCCUCCUAAAGAGUAACGGAGGAGCACGAAGGUUGGCUAAUCCUGGUCGGACAUCAGGAGGUUAGUGCAAUGGCAUAAGCCAGCUUGACUGCGAGCGUGACGGCGCGAGCAGGUGCGAAAGCAGGUCAUAGUGAUCCGGUGGUUCUGAAUGGAAGGGCCAUCGCUCAACGGAUAAAAGGUACUCCGGGGAUAACAGGCUGAUACCGCCCAAGAGUUCAUAUCGACGGCGGUGUUUGGCACCUCGAUGUCGGCUCAUCACAUCCUGGGGCUGAAGUAGGUCCCAAGGGUAUGGCUGUUCGCCAUUUAAAGUGGUACGCGAGCUGGGUUUAGAACGUCGUGAGACAGUUCGGUCCCUAUCUGCCGUGGGCGCUGGAGAACUGAGGGGGGCUGCUCCUAGUACGAGAGGACCGGAGUGGACGCAUCACUGGUGUUCGGGUUGUCAUGCCAAUGGCACUGCCCGGUAGCUAAAUGCGGAAGAGAUAAGUGCUGAAAGCAUCUAAGCACGAAACUUGCCCCGAGAUGAGUUCUCCCUGACUCCUUGAGAGUCCUGAAGGAACGUUGAAG
rnacentral:rRNA from 1 species